AGCACUUAUGUCUUUGUACCUUUUGUGUUGGUACAGACUUAAAACUAGUGCUGAUAAUAAACCCUUCUCUUGCAACCCACAACAAAUUGUCUUGUAUGAGUUGUGUUACUUAUGGGAAGGGACAAU